CCUACGGGAGGCUGCAGUGAGGAAUAUUGGUCAAUGGACGGAAGUCUGAACCAGCCAUGCCGCGUGCAGGAAGACGGCUCUAUGAGUUGUAAACUGCUUUUGUACAAGGGUAAACCUGAAUACGUGUAUUCAGCUGAAAGUACUGUACGAAUAAGGAUCGGCUAACUCCGUGCCAGCAGCCGCGGUAAUACGGAGGAUCCAAGCGUUAUCCGGAUUUAUUGGGUUUAAAGGGUGCGUAGGCGGAUUGAUAAGUUAGAGGUGAAAUGUCCGAGCUCAACUCGGGAACUGCCUCUAAUACUGUUGAUCUAGAGAGUAGAUGCGGUAGGCGGAAUGUAUGGUGUAGCGGUGAAAGGCUUAGAGAUCAUACAGAACACCGAUUGCGAAGGCAGCUUACCAAUCUAUAUCUGACGUUGAGGCACGAAAGCGUGGGGAGCAAACAGGAUUAGAUACCCCUGUAGUC
rnacentral:rRNA from 1 species